AUGCAAACGGGUUUGCAAAUGCUUCUUGUGCACGGGGAGGGCUGGCGUGCCCAGAGCAUCUCUGCAAAAGGGGCUUCUCCCACCCCACACAGGGAAAAAGGGUGCAAGGAGAAAGGGGUGAUCCUGGCCAUGCCAAAUUUGUGGGAUCCCUUCGUGUCCCUAAUUCUGAGCCUGAGAACACCGGGGUGCACAUGGGGCGAGCACCCAGCCGUGCCCCCCAAAACCCAAACCGGCCUCAUCGAUCUCCCGACCCCUCCAGGAAUCAAUAAUUGGAGGUUUCCCAUCGCAUCCAGGGCUGCAAAUCUGCUGAGCCGCCGCUUUCGCUUCCACGGCGGCGCAGCACCAGGAGCCUCCCCGACGUGGCCUCCCCCCCACUUUUUUUCCUUGUCUGCCCGCAGAGCACCCCACUUCUCCUUCCCCUUCCUGCCCUCCCCACGUGCUGCUCCCCUCUGCUCCCCCCCCGGUGAUAAAUCCCACCCUACAGAGCCCCCACUUGGCACGGGGCAGCCCCUUCCUCACCGUUGGCACCGGGUUUUGCCCCGUGCCCAUCGCCGUGGCGUCAGGGCAGCUCGUUUUGGGGUUGUUUUUUGGCUGCCCGUGGUGCUUUUGGCGCUGCUGAUUUUGGGAUGGGAGCGCUCUGCCCCUGGCCGUGCACGGAGCCUUGGGCACAUCCCUCAGCAUCCUCCCGCAAUCGCUCCUGGGAGAGGUGGUUUUGGGGCAAAAUCUGCUAAAGAGGGCAAAACGCUGAGCAAAGGUCACCUCUUGGAGCAGGGUGCUGGUUCUAACUCGGGUGUUUUUUGGGGCAGAAGGGACUCUUUCAAUGACUGUGCCCCCUAUUUCAUGAAAAACCCCACCAAAACGUCCGCAUCCGACCCGCUUUGUUCUCAGGAACACUUCCCGGAGAGGAGGGAUGGAUCCGGGAACCAGCCCUCGUGCCGGGAAGGACAAACCCAGACCCUUGUCACAUCGUCCCUCGCCACGAGCCCGGAGCAUGGGCCGGCACCGUGCCACAAGGCUUUCGCCUGCAUCCGUGGCCUUUUUUUUUUUUCUUGA
rnacentral:lncRNA from 1 species